rnacentral:rRNA from 1 species
CCAGCAGCCGCGGUAAUUCCAGCUCCAAUAGCGUAUAUUAAAGUUGUUGCAGUUAAAAAGCUCGUAGUUGAAUUUCGGGGUCAGCAGGUUGGUCGUGCCAAUGGUAUGAACUGGCCUUGCUGAUUCCUCCCUCUUGAUGAGCCGUAAUGCCAUUAAUUUGGUGUUGGGGGGAAUCAGGACUGUUACUUUGAAAAAAUUAGAGUGUUUAAAGCAGGCAAGCGCUUGAAUACAUUAGCAUGGAAUAAUGAAAUAGGACGUUUGAUUCUAUUUUGUUGGUUUCUAGGAUCGACGUAAUGAUUAAUAGGGAUAGUUGGGGGCAUUAGUAUUCAAUUGUCAGAGGUGAAAUUCUUGGAUUUAUUGAAGACUAACUACUGCGAAAGCAUUUGCCAAGGAUGUUUUCAUUAAUCAAGAACGAAAGUUAGGGGAUCGAAGACGAUCAGAUACCGUCGUAGUCUUAACCAUAAACUAUGCCGACUAGGGAUCGGAUGAUGUUAUUUUUAAUGACUC